rnacentral:rRNA from 1 species
UACAGAGGGUGCAAGCGUUGUUCGGAAUUAUUGGGCGUAAAGCGCGUGUAGGCGGCUUUGCAAGUCGGGUGUGAAAGCCCUCAGCUCAACUGAGGAAGUGCGCCCGAAACUGCAGAGCUUGAGUACUGGAGAGGAUGGCGGAAUUCCCCAAGUAGAGGUGAAAUUCGUAGAUAUGGGGAGGAACACCGGUGGCGAAGGCGGCCAUCUGGACGGAUACUGACGCUGAGACGCGAAAGCGUGGGUAGCAAACAGG